AUGAAUGCACCACCGCCCUCCGGCACCCACCCGUGGGCUGCUGCUGUCCCCAGGCGCAGGGCCCCAUCCGCCCCCCAGAAGGCUGGGACAGGGGCGUCCUGCAGCACACCCCUCCGGGGCACUCCACGCACAACACCCUCAUCGGCCCCAACCGCCCCCUUGGCUGCGCAAAGCCAAGGCCUGGGCAAAACACUUCUUCCUUGCAGCAAGCCCGUUUGGGGAAUUUUUUUUUUUUUUUUUUCCUCUUGCAAACCUCCUGGCGCUCUGGCCACCUUCCCCCUCGCAACCCCCCUUUUUUUCCCUCGCAACCCCCCUUUUUUUCCCUCGCAACCCCCCUUUUUUUCCCUCGCAACCCCCUUUUUUUCCCUCACAACCCCCCUUUUUCCCCUCGCAACCCCCCUUUUUUCCCCACAACCCCCCUUUUUUUCCCUCGCAACCCCUUUUUUUCCCUCGCAACCCCUCUUUUUCCCCUCGCAACCCCCAUUUUCCCCUCACAACCCCUUUUUUUUCCCUCGCAACCCCCCUUUUUUCCCCCCCCCCCCCCCCCCCCCCCCCCCCCCCCCCCCCCCCCCCCCCCCCCCCCCUCCCCCCCCACCUCCCCCCCCCCCCCCCCCCCCCCCCCCUUUUUUUCUUUUUUUUUUUUUUUUUCUUUUUUUUUUUUGUCUUUGCCUUUUUUUUUUUCGCUUUGCCUUUUUUUUUUUCGCUUUGCCUUUUUUUUUUNNGACCCAAGGACCCACCAUCACAAGGACAAUAAUUUUCCCUCGCAACCCCUUUUUUCCUCACAACCCCCCUUUUUUCCCUCACAACCCCCCUUUUUUCCCUCGCAACCCUUUUUUUUCCCUCGCAACCCCCUUUUUUUCCCUCGCAACCCCCUUUUUUCCCUCACAACCCCUCUCCCAGCACUCCUGCAAGCCUUCCCUCGCAGCCCUCUGUCCCUCGCACCCCUGCGGCCUUAUCCCCCCACUUGGCAAGCUUGCAGCCUCCUUCACAACCCAGGAGCCGCCUUCCCGCUUCCCCCCCCCCCCCCUUACUUAA
rnacentral:lncRNA from 1 species